rnacentral:lncRNA from 1 species
GUCAUUGCCCUGUAAAUUUAGCAGACAUCAGUAAUAUAAACACUACCAUCCUGUUCGAUCACAACAUAAAAAAAAGGUCGUACCCAGUGCACAAGGCUCCCGCUUAACGCAGGGUCUGGGAGAGGUGAAUGUCGGCUAGCCUUACCCCCAUUUAUGGAGAGGCUGUUCGAUCACAACAUAGAGAUUGUGAAAUAUGUAAGAAUCCGAUACAAGGCCAUCAUCCCCCAGUUUGCAGAAUCAUUUCAAAGAAAUGAAACGGUUACAGCUAAAAGCUCAAAUCGACCCUCCAGUUCAUUACGGAAGGCCAUCCAAAAGCAAUGCAGCAUAGGAAAGCUCAAAAGUACAUCAAUUCAACUACGAUUGGUAAACGGAGUAGCAUUCAUUUGAAAGGGGGUAUAAACUAACUAAUGCUCUGAACAGAAGCAAAUUCAUCAUAACCAUUUUCAGUGGAUAUUCCCUUUAAAAGUUACUUGUCAGAAUGUGUUCAUUGUCUAAGAAAUCAAUCACCAGCAUUAAUACACCGAUACUAUAGUUGCACUUUGACUGCACAAUAAUAAG